rnacentral:rRNA from 1 species
UGGGGAAUAUUGGGCAAUGGGCGAAAGCCUGACCCAGCAACGCCGCGUGAAGGAAGAAGGCCUUCGGGUUGUAAACUUCUUUUAUUUAGGAAGAUAAUGACGGUACUGAAUGAAUAAGCUCCGGCUAACUACGUGCCAGCAGCCGCGGUAAUACGUAGGGAGCAAGCGUUAUCCGGAUUUACUGGGUGUAAAGGGCGCGUAGGCGGGAUGGUAAGUCAGAUGUGAAAUACCGAGGCUCAACCUCGGGGCUGCAUUUGAAACUAUCAUUCUUGAGUGAUGGAGAGGCAGGCGGAAUUCCCGGUGUAGCGGUGGAAUGCGUAGAUAUCGGGAGGAACACCAGUGGCGAAGGCGGCCUGCUGGACAUUAACUGACGCUGAGGCGCGAAAGCGUGGGGAGCAAACA